ensembl:snoRNA SCARNA14 small Cajal body-specific RNA 14
GUGGCAGUCUUUAUGGUUGCAACACUGAGCAGUGUGCUGCAACCGAUGUGACUCCACACAGAGUGAGGCUGGAUCCUGCCGACAGGAACUGUAAAGGCAUCGGUUUCCCUGUGCGAUGGUUUCAUACAUC